UACGGGGGGGGUAAGCGUUGUUCGGAAUUACUGGGCGUAAAGGGCUCGUAGGCGGCCAACUAAGUCAGACGUGAAAUCCCUCAGCUUAACUGGGGAACUGCGUCUGAUACUGGAUGGCUUGGAUUCGGGAGAGGAAUGCGGAAUUCCAGGUGUAGCGGUGAAAUGCGUAGAUAUUGGGAGGAACACCAGUGGCGAAGGCGGCUACCUGGACCGGUUCUGACGCUGAUGCGCGAAAGCGUGGGUAGCAAACAGG
rnacentral:rRNA from 1 species